rnacentral:rRNA from 1 species
GACGUAGGGCGCGAGCGUUUGUCCGGAUUUAUUGGGCGUAAAGAGCUCGUAGGCGGCUUGUCGUCGGUCGUUCGUCGAAAACCCACAGCUCAACUGUGGGCUUGCGGGUCGAUAACGGGCGAGGCGUAGAGUUCGGUAGGGGAGACUGGGAAUUCCUGGAUGUAGCGGUGAAAUGCGCAGAUAUCAGGAGGAACACCGGUGGCGAAGGCGGGUCUCUGGGCCGAUAACUGACGCUGGAGGAG